CUUCCUCCUUCUUUGACAUGACUAGCCUGGGGGAAAAAAUAAUACAAAAAAUUAUAACUUGUGAGAAGCAUUGUUGUCAUCAAGAUGGUGUUGACUUGACUUCCACACCACCAGAGUUUCUCAGUGGUUUUGCAGCAAAUGAAGUUGGGAGCUCUAGAAAUAGCAUAUUUCUCUUACAUACCCAUGACCCACUCAGGAAGCAGCAGCAUGCAAUAAUCAUGAAAUGAAUUUUUAAAGUGGGUUCCAAGGAAGAGUCAACAAAUGGCAAAACAGAUACCUAGAGCUAAGUACUACAGUCUGCUGAAGUCCACCUGGGAAGGCCAAAAUCAACCAAGGAUUUUCAAACCCUAAUCUUUAAGAGUCAGUAUGGAAGCUGGUCAUAGAACAGCAGCUAUGGAAAAACAUCUGCUUCUGACAAGCACGUCAACACCUCACUUAAGCAGAGCAACAGGGAGAGGGAUGCAGAGCCUGAACUUCAGCUGCAGUGCAGAUCAGAUCACAGAAGAGUCGUGUUCACUCUGCAAACCAUACAUCUUACACGUGAGUUUGAAUGCCAACAGCUGAACCAAAAUGCAGAAUUAUCAGUAGAUCACCUGAAAAUGUUAAGGAUGAAGCCUUCAAAGAAUUGUUAUGGAAGCUUUCAUAUAGAAAGUAAAUGCUUGUCCAAGAUUUAUAACAGAAACUCCAGUAGAUUUUAAUACAGUGAGUGAAGAUAUUCUUGGGGUGAUAUCAAAGAAUAAAAUCAGGCUUAUUUGUAACCCCACAGGGCUUCUGCUUUACCUUUCAUUCAGAGUAAAAUCCUACAUAUUACAGUUUGCUACAUGUCAGGUUUUGUUUCAUUAUUAUUCCUAGAUCCAUAUGUGGAGACUGAUACAGUAAGUUGGUAACAUACAGUAAAAAGGUGGCACCUGAAAAUGAGGUUCCUUGA